rfam:Octopus bimaculoides Scaffold2199_contig_284, whole genome shotgun sequence.
GGUGGUUUAGCUUAAUGGUUUAGAGCACCACGACCUGUAAUCACGGAGGUGUGAGUUCGAGUCUCAUAGCCGGCC